AAGAAUUCGAAGAAAAUUCGUGAAUCGGAAAAUUUACAGUGAUUAAUCCGGUGUUUUUUGUACCAGGUUCCGUCUCGGGUUCCGUAUAGAAGUAACUUCCACCUUCUAUCCGCCCUUGUUCUCGAAGCUAUGGUUGGAAUACCACUAAGAUUGCACAUCGCUGAUCGGCAGAAACAAGGCCUGAUAAUGAGUCCCCUGUUGAUCCGUCACUUCCGCAUUCCUUCAUCUAUUGGCACCAUGGACUCGAGGAAUAAUACGAGUAGUUUGUAGUUUCGCAGCUCAAAGGAGUGCCCUGGGUCGUCGAAUCUGAGCGAGUUCAGCUUGAGUAACAGAUUUUAUCCGAGAUGGAAGUUUCUAACAGUUCCGAUCGGUUGAAAACGAAAUAUGGAUGGAGAAGAAGCUGCCAUAGAAGGUGAACUGGUCGAUGCUGUGAAUGGAGCAUUUCCAGGAAGUGUAUACAACAAAACAUUCAUGCGAAUGACAGCGACGAGCCGGGCGAAGAGAAGGAUUUCCGAACGAAGAAGUAUAAAGCGGAUCAGGAAUGAUGCGAAGGAUUUUAAACUUUCUAUACCGCAACCAGAGCUGAUAUCACUUACGUAUCAUUAUCGUUGAAUGAUUACGGUAUCGUUGAUCACAGGAGCAACGAGGGGAAGGGCCUCCAUGUCCCUGCCAAUUGACGCAUGCCAAAAACCACAACGAAAACGAACCGAAUCACUAAUAGCACAAAAAUUAUCAUAACAUUGGGACAAUCAUGAGAAAGUCCAGCAGCGGGAAACUCUAAGUUGACUGUGGCAAUGUUGGCUGAUGCAAUGGCAGUCGCGUCGAAGAAAACGAGUCACAUACAUUUUGGGGAUUUAGCCGAGGACCCAACAUCAACACGGUACACAACUUUGCUAUCCAAAGCCGUGGAUUUCCAGCGAAUGUUAUUACACCAAAAAAAGAACGUCGAAACGAGAUAAUUAUCAUCAUAAGAAAAAAUAAUUUUCAAUAAAUAAAUAUGGAAAAAAUUA